rnacentral:ncRNA from 1 species
GUAUUGUAUGAAAGGAGAACAGGUUAGCACUCCCCUUGACAAGGAUAGAAGAGGCUCUUGGGCCUGACAAAAAGCAUAUGGUCAAGGCGUUGCCACCUACUUCAUGGCAUCUAACCAUCAUUUUUA